rnacentral:rRNA from 1 species
AUUGAACGCUGGCGGCAGGCCUAACACAUGCAAGUCGAGCGGCAGCGGAAAGUAGCUUGCUACUUUGCCGGCGAGCGGCGGACGGGUGAGUAAUGUCUGGGAAACUGCCUGAUGGAGGGGGAUAACUACUGGAAACGGUAGCUAAUACCGCAUAACGUCGCAAGACCAAAGAGGGGGACCUUCGGGCCUCUUGCCAUCAGAUGUGCCCAGAUGGGAUUAGCUAGUAGGUGGGGUAACGGCUCACCUAGGCGACGAUCCCUAGCUGGUCUGAGAGGAUGACCAGCCACACUGGAACUGAGACACGGUCCAGACUCCUACGGGAGGCAGCAGUGGGGAAUAUUGCACAAUGGGCGCAAGCCUGAUGCAGCCAUGCCGCGUGUAUGAAGAAGGCCUUCGGGUUGUAAAGUACUUUCAGCGGGGAGGAAGGCGUUGUGGUUAAUAACCACAGCGAUUGACGUUACCCGCAGAAGAAGCACCGGCUAACUCCGUGCCAGCAGCCGCCGUAACAC